rnacentral:rRNA from 1 species
UACGUAGGCAGCGAGCGUUGUUCGGAGUUACUGGGCGUAAAGGGUGUGUAGGCGGUUCUUUAAGUUUGGUGUGAAAUCUCCCGGCUUAACCGGGAGGGUGCGCCGAAUACUGAGGGACUAGAGUACGGGAGAGGAAAGUGGAAUUCCUGGUGUAGCGGUGAAAUGCGUAGAUAUCAGGAGGAACACCGGUGGUGUAGACGGCUUUCUGGACCGUAACUGACGCUGAGACACGAAAGCGUGGGUAGCAAACAGG